UAUCAAUACUAUUAUAACUAUAUAUUAAUACUAUUAUAAUUACUAUAUAUUAUUAUUUAUUAACUACUAAUAUUAUUAAUACUUAAUAUUAUAUUUAAUAAUAACUAAUAUUUAUAUAUUAUUUAUAUUAAUACUAUUAUAACUAUUUAUUAUUAACUAUUUAUAUUAAUACUAUAUAUAUUAUAACUAUUAUUACUAAUUAUUAAAAUUAAUUAUUGAUAU
rnacentral:tRNA from 1 species